rnacentral:rRNA from 1 species
GGUUAAGCGACUAAGCGUACACGGUGGAUGCCCUGGCAGUCAGAGGCGAUGAAGGACGUGCUAAUCUGCGAUAAGCGUCGGUAAGGUGAUAUGAACCGUUAUAACCGGCGAUUUCCGAAUGGGGAAACCCAGUGUGUUUCGACACACUAUCAUUAACUGAAUCCAUAGGUUAAUGAGGCGAACCGGGGGAACUGAAACAUCUAAGUACCCCGAGGAAAAGAAAUCAACCGAGAUUCCCCCAGUAGCGGCGAGCGAACGGGGAGCAGCCCAGAGCCUGAAUCAGUGUGUGUGUUAGUGGAAGCGUCUGGAAAGGCGCGCGAUACAGGGUGACAGCCCCGUACACAAAAAUGCACAUGCUGUGAGCUCGAUGAGUAGGGCGGGACACGUGGUAUCCUGUCUGAAUAUGGGGGGACCAUCCUCCAAGGCUAAAUACUCCUGACUGACCGAUAGUGAACCAGUACCGUGAGGGAAAGGCGAAAAGAACCCCGGCGAGGGGAGUGAAAAAGAACCUGAAACCGUGUACGUACAAGCAGUGGGAGCACGCUUAGGCGUGUGACUGCGUACCUUUUGUAUAAUGGGUCAGCGACUUAUAUUCUGUAGCAAGGUUAACCGAAUAGGGGAGCCGAAGGGAAACCGAGUCUUAACUGGGCGUUAAGUUGCAGGGUAUAGACCCGAAACCCGGUGAUCUAGCCAUGGGCAGGUUGAAGGUUGGGUAACACUAACUGGAGGACCGAACCGACUAAUGUUGAAAAAUUAGCGGAUGACUUGUGGCUGGGGGUGAAAGGCCAAUCAAACCGGGAGAUAGCUGGUUCUCCCCGAAAGCUAUUUAGGUAGCGCCUCGUGAACUCAUCUCCGGGGGUAGAGCACUGUUUCGGCAAGGGGGUCAUCCCGACUUACCAACCCGAUGCAAACUGCGAAUACCGGAGAAUGUUAUCACGGGAGACACACGGCGGGUGCUAACGUCCGUCGUGAAGAGGGAAACAACCCAGACCGCCAGCUAAGGUCCCAAAGUCAUGGUUAAGUGGGAAACGAUGUGGGAAGGCCCAGACAGCCAGGAUGUUGGCUUAGAAGCAGCCAUCAUUUAAAGAAAGCGUAAUAGCUCACUGGUCGAGUCGGCCUGCGCGGAAGAUGUAACGGGGCUAAACCAUGCACCGAAGCUGCGGCAGCGACACUGUGUGUUGUUGGGUAGGGGAGCGUUCUGUAAGCCUGUGAAGGUGUACUGUGAGGUAUGCUGGAGGUAUCAGAAGUGCGAAUGCUGACAUAAGUAACGAUAAAGCGGGUGAAAAGCCCGCUCGCCGGAAGACCAAGGGUUCCUGUCCAACGUUAAUCGGGGCAGGGUGAGUCGACCCCUAAGGCGAGGCCGAAAGGCGUAGUCGAUGGGAAACAGGUUAAUAUUCCUGUACUUGGUGUUACUGCGAAGGGGGGACGGAGAAGGCUAUGUUGGCCGGGCGACGGUUGUCCCGGUUUAAGCGUGUAGGCUGGUUUUCCAGGCAAAUCCGGAAAAUCAAGGCUGAGGCGUGAUGACGAGGCACUACGGUGCUGAAGCAACAAAUGCCCUGCUUCCAGGAAAAGCCUCUAAGCAUCAGGUAACAUCAAAUCGUACCCCAAACCGACACAGGUGGUCAGGUAGAGAAUACCAAGGCGCUUGAGAGAACUCGGGUGAAGGAACUAGGCAAAAUGGUGCCGUAACUUCGGGAGAAGGCACGCUGAUAUGUAGGUGAAGCGACUUGCUCGUGGAGCUGAAAUCAGUCGAAGAUACCAGCUGGCUGCAACUGUUUAUUAAAAACACAGCACUGUGCAAACACGAAAGUGGACGUAUACGGUGUGACGCCUGCCCGGUGCCGGAAGGUUAAUUGAUGGGGUUAGCGCAAGCGAAGCUCUUGAUCGAAGCCCCGGUAAACGGCGGCCGUAACUAUAACGGUCCUAAGGUAGCGAAAUUCCUUGUCGGGUAAGUUCCGACCUGCACGAAUGGCGUAAUGAUGGCCAGGCUGUCUCCACCCGAGACUCAGUGAAAUUGAACUCGCUGUGAAGAUGCAGUGUACCCGCGGCAAGACGGAAAGACCCCGUGAACCUUUACUAUAGCUUGACACUGAACAUUGAGCCUUGAUGUGUAGGAUAGGUGGGAGGCUUUGAAGUGUGGACGCCAGUCUGCAUGGAGCCGACCUUGAAAUACCACCCUUUAAUGUUUGAUGUUCUAACGUUGACCCGUAAUCCGGGUUGCGGACAGUGUCUGGUGGGUAGUUUGACUGGGGCGGUCUCCUCCUAAAGAGUAACGGAGGAGCACGAAGGUUGGCUAAUCCUGGUCGGACAUCAGGAGGUUAGUGCAAUGGCAUAAGCCAGCUUGACUGCGAGCGUGACGGCGCGAGCAGGUGCGAAAGCAGGUCAUAGUGAUCCGGUGGUUCUGAAUGGAAGGGCCAUCGCUCAACGGAUAAAAGGUACUCCGGGGAUAACAGGCUGAUACCGCCCAAGAGUUCAUAUCGACGGCGGUGUUUGGCACCUCGAUGUCGGCUCAUCACAUCCUGGGGCUGAAGUAGGUCCCAAGGGUAUGGCUGUUCGCCAUUUAAAGUGGUACGCGAGCUGGGUUUAGAACGUCGUGAGACAGUUCGGUCCCUAUCUGCCGUGGGCGCUGGAGAACUGAGGGGGGCUGCUCCUAGUACGAGAGGACCGGAGUGGACGCAUCACUGGUGUUCGGGUUGUCAUGCCAAUGGCACUGCCCGGUAGCUAAAUGCGGAAGAGAUAAGUGCUGAAAGCAUCUAAGCACGAAACUUGCCCCGAGAUGAGUUCUCCCUGACCCUUUAAGGGUCCUGAAGGAACGUUGAAGACGACGACGUUGAUAGGCCGGGUGUGUAAGCGCAGCGAUGCGUUGAGCUAACCGGUACUAAUGAACCGUGAGGCUUAACCUU